GAUCGCAGGCUGCAACUCGCCUGCGUCAAGUUGGAAUUGCUAGUAAUCGCGGAUCAGCAUGCCGCGGUGAAUACGUUCCCGGGCCUUGUACACACCGCCCGUCACACCAUGAGAGUCGGGAACACCCGAAGUCCGUAGUCUAACCGCAAGGAGGGCGCGGCCGAAGGUGGGUUCGAUAAUUGGGGUGAAGUCGUAACAAGGUAUC
rnacentral:rRNA from 1 species